GCCCAAAAACUCAGCCAACCCAACACUCGAAACCCCACCAACCCUUCAACCAAAACAUUUACCACGGCCAGUAAAUGAGAUUAAACACCAACAAUCGGCCCCUUAAGUACCGCAAGGGAACAAUGAAAGAAUAAUGAAAAACUUUAAGCGCAACACAGCAAAGAUACACCCCUGUACCUCUUGCAUCAUGGUCUAGCAAAACCUUCCAGACAAAGAGAACCUUUAGCCUGCCCCCCCGAAACCAAACGAGCUAUUUUUAAGCAGCUGUCGAACCCCAGAGCGCACCCAUCCCUGUAGCAAAAGGGUGGGAAGACUUAAAAAUAGAGGCAAAAAGCCAACCGAGCUUGGUGAUAGCUGGCUACUCAACAAAAGAAUUUAAGUUCAACUUUAGGUACUUAUGAGCCAACUACCAAAUAAAACUCACCUCCUAUUAACCUAAGGAAAGUCAAUGGGGGUACAGCCCCAUUGAGCCGGAAUACAGCCCGAAUUGUGAGAUAACCCUUACCCCUCUUUCUGUAGGCUUCAAAGCAGCCACCAGACAAUCGCGUUAUAGCAUACUCACCAAACAAUCUUAUCAACCUAAUAACCCUCCUAACCCACUACGAGUUAUCCUAUAUGAUUAUAGAAACACCAAUGCUAAAAUUAGUAAUAAGAAACACUUAUUUCUCUUUGCACCCCUUUAAAUCAGAUUAGAAAAACUACUGACAAUUAACAAACAAACAAACACACACAUAUCUAGCCAAGACGUUACUAAAAAAUUGUUACCCCUACACAGGCAUGCAAAAAAGAAAGACGAAAACCCGCAAAAGGAACUCGGCAAAGCUUAAUCCCAACUGUUUACCAAAAACAUAGCCUUUAGCCCCCCAAGUAUUAAAGGUCUCGCCUGCCCAGUGACUCUUUAAACGGCCGCGGUAUCCUAACCGUGCAAAGGUAGCAUAAUCACUUGUCCCUUAAAUAGGGACUGGAAUGAAUGGCUAAAUGAGGAUUAAACUGUCUCUUACGGGUUGUCAAUGAAAUUGAUUUUCUAGUACAAAAGCUGGAAUAAACACAUAAGACGAGAAGACCCUGUGGAGCUUCUAAACCAAGUUCAUUCAAACAAUGCUUCCUUGUGUUUUUAGUUGGGGCGACUUUGGAGUACAAAAAACCCUCCAAAACAUGUUAAACCAAUAAUAUUAAGAACAACAAACCAAAACUACAAAAGACCCAGCAACAACCCUAAUGUUGUCUGACCAAUGAACCAAGUUACCCCAGGGAUAACAGCGCCAUCCCCUUCUAGAGUCCUUAUCGACAGGGGGGUUUACGACCUCGAUGUUGGAUCAGGACACCCCAAUGGUGCAGCCGCCAUUAAAGGUUCGUUUGUUCAACGAUUAAAGUCCUACGUGAUCUGAGUUCAGACCGGAGAAAUCCAGGUCGGUUUCUAUCUAUGUAGCACUACCUUCAGUACGAAAGGACCAAGGUAGUAGGACCAAUACUAAAAGAACGUCCCAACUAAAACUACUGAGAAACCCUAAAGUAGCAGACAUGCCUACCCUUUAUAUCAAAAUCAGGUUU
rnacentral:rRNA from 1 species